UACGGAGGGUGCGAGCGUUAUCCGGAAUCACUGGGCUUAAAGGGGGCGUAGGCGGCUCGGUAAGUCAGUUGUGAAAGCCCCUUGCUUAACGAGGGAGGUGCGGUUGAUACUGUCGAGCUUGAAUCGGGAUGAGGCAGGCGGAAUGUGGCAUGUAGCGGUGAAAUGCAUAGAUAUGCCAGAGAACACCGAUUGCGAAGGCAGCCUGCUGGGCCUGUAUUGACGCUGAGGCACGAAAGCGUGGGGAGCAAACAGG
rnacentral:rRNA from 1 species